GCCCCAGUGGCUUAGAGGCUAUAGCGGCUGACUUGUAAUCAGCAGGUCGCGCGUUCAAUUCGCGCCUGGGGCUCCA
rnacentral:tRNA from 1 species